rnacentral:tRNA from 1 species
AGAUUAUCGUUUUUACUUUCUGCAAAGUUUUGAACUACAGUUUUAGUUAAAAGCUUUGCAGAAUAAUAGAUCUA